rnacentral:rRNA from 1 species
ACAAGUCUGAUCCAGCAUUCUGUGUGUUUGAUGAAGGCCUUCGGGUUGUAAAGAACUUUCAGUGGGGAAGAAGCAAGUGACGGUACCCACAGAAGAAGCGACGGCUAAAUACGUGCCAGCAGCCGCGGUAAUA